rnacentral:rRNA from 1 species
CAGUCGCCGCGGUAAAACGUAGGUGGCAAGCGUUGUCCGGAAUUAUUGGGCGUAAAGGGCUCGCAGGCGGUUUCUUAAGUCUGAUGUGAAAGCCCCCGGCUCAACCGGGGAGGGUCAUUGGAAACUGGGAAACUUGAGUGCAGAAGAGGAGAGUGGAAUUCCACGUGUAGCGGUGAAAUGCGUAGAGAUGUGGAGGAACACCAGUGGCGAGGGCGACUCUCUGGUCUGUAACUGACGCUGAGAGCGAAAGCGUGGGGAGCGAACAGGAUUAGAUACCCCAGUAGUCCCUGUCUCUUAUACA